GCGAAAGUUGGACUAAUACCUUAUGUACUCGUUUGAUCUCAUGAGAUUACGAAUAAAGAUUUAUCGGUUAUGGAUGGGGAUGCGUCUGAUUAGCUUGUUGGCGGGGUAACGGCUCACCAAGGCAACGAUCAGUAGGGGUUCUGAGAGGAAGGUCCCCCCACAUUGGAACUGAGACACGGUCCAAACUCCUACGGGAGGCAGCAGAC
rnacentral:rRNA from 1 species